ACAUGGAAGCACCAGCAUCUCUGUAAUCAGCACCUUCAAAGUCAUAGCAUAAUCUGUGUAAUGGAUGGUCAACUCAGAAAAGGAGUAAUGAAAGCCUAUGAAGUAUGAUAGCUACUGUAUGAAAACUCUGAAGGCAGACCAAAGCAGGUGUGGAGGUGCCAAGCCAAGAGUCCCAGACGAGAGGCAGCAGACACGGUGUCGUCCAGUUGUCCAAGUGCAUAUGAUCUUCUAAUGAGCCUGACAGAUGCUUCUAGCCUUCUAACAGACCACAAGACAAACUUUCCCGAUGCUGGCAUUUACAUGUUUAUCAUUGCAGACCACCUUUACCUCAGGAAGGGCUUGUAAUCAGCAUUACUUCAGUCAGGUGUAUGAGGAGCAGGAAGAACACAAUAAUAUGCAGAACAAUUGCAACUCCAGGACCAGAUUUAGGUAUAUGUAGCAUGUCUGCCAUUACUGAUGGCCUCAAUAAUUAAUGAAGCUGAUCAUUUGAAGGUUUAGUAGAUGUGUUCGAGCAGGAAAUGUAACUCGACUCGUGCUGAUUUUGUUUGCUUUACCACUCAGAGCCACAUGCACCGACAGUGUCUUUGGGAAACAGAAGUCAGGCAUGACGUGUUUAUUCAUCAGUUAAUAAAUGCUCACCAGAUGAGCAGAUGAUGGGUCAGAAGCACGGAGCGUAAACAAAGCGGAACGCACAAAGGAAAAUAGGAGGAUCAAGCCUUUAACGUGUGGAUGGAAAUAAAACAAACACAGCUGCCCAAAAAAUAAAAAAUAAAUAAAUCCUUCACACCCAGCCCUUUUUCCUUUUUCCUACAGCAAAUUUUUCCAUUUCCAAAAGAAAGGAUACCAUUCGUUUGCUGUCAUCACUAAUUCAUUUUUUUGCACAAAAUGCGUCUGUCUACAUCUGUCUGUUACGAUGCACCUCGUCUGCUCUUAUCAGCGUCCAGCACAACAACUAACAUAGUGAAACGAGCGCGCGCAAGCCACCAGUGCGUACAUCACCACCAUUCAGAAUUUCUGAAGUUAUUUCCUAACAAUGCAUUUAAUU